GUUCUGUCCUGGUUGCUUGGGGGCGCUACCGCCGACCCUGGAGGAGAACCAGGCCGUCUGUAAGACCGCCCCUAGCUUGACAAAUUUCCCAUCUUUCCUCCUCAAAAUUUUAAAGCAGAAAAUGACGUUGAUGACAAAGGGCAUCAGGGCCAUGGCCAGCUGUGUUUUGGUAUUUUAUUUCCUUUAUUGAAGGCUGACUUGCAUUCUUUGGGAGCCUGGCCUUGUUGGCUUGAGCUGUGGGCCGUGACGCUACGGCCCAAAAUGUGCUCGGACCUCAGUUCCUGUGCUUCUGAGCUCCCCACGCCUCUGAGCCUUCUGUUUCACACCAGCAUCUUGGGAAAGCCCAGCUCUUGUUGCCACGUUUAAUACCACCCCCUGCCUCCAGGAAAAUGAGUAAUCCCUUUUCUAAUCUCUCGGGAGACGUGGGGGCUCAACCCAGGAGAAGGGAGGGAAGAAGACUAUACUUACAAUGAUGACAGUUGUGAUGAACAUUCCAGCACUUUGUACCUGCUCCGUCAACCCUUCAUCAACUGUGUGAGAAAUUAGUUUCAUAAUCCUCUGACAACUUCGUUUUCCCCUAAAUUGGGCACCAACGAAUUUGACAGAACAAGGUGACGCAAACUGCGAGGCUCUGAACGGCCUUCGUUUACCCCACGGCCGAACCUGCAAGUAUCCAAUGAAGGGGUGCUGCCCCCCAACCGCUGGGGUGGAUGCUCUGUUUUAUUUGCAUCUUACUCUGAGCACAUCUGGCCUCACGGGUUCCACGGCAGAGACCCGUGGACCUGUCUCUGCUUUACAGAUAAGGAAACGGUAAGGCCCACCGAGCUGGGGCAGCGCUCCCAAGCUGAGGACUUACGGGGUCCCGCCACUGGACUUCUAGAGCUCUGCUCCAUCCUGGCCUCCUCCCCGCCCAAUUCGUGGCUUUGAAUUAUCUAUGAGCCGCGUGCCCAGCUUCGUGUGCAGAGGUCCUCUGUGGGUCCAGCGCUCCCCAGGCCUGAGUCCCUGGGUAGGGCAAUGGGGAGCUUUCCCAUUGCAUCCAUGGGGUUCCCGAUUCACUACAGUUCCAAGAAACACGCGGACCCGAGAAACACGCGGAGCCUCGCACAUCCUGGACGAAGGUCCCGCAGGGGCCGCAUGGAGAUGGAGCCUCUUCUGCUUCUCUUGCUGUGGUGUGCUCUGGCCUCCCCGCUGCAAAGGCUAUUUGAGGACGGAAUGCUAGGGGAAGGGGUUCACAGAUUUUCCCAAACCUGUCCAAGGUCCUCGGACCCAAGUGGAGGCCCUGACUGAAGGUGUGCCACCGUCUGGGGAUUCGAUCCCUGGCAGUUGGCUACAGGUACCCCAAGCUCCUGGGAACCCCAUCC